UACAGAGGUCUCAAGCGUUGUUCGGAUUCAUUGGGCGUAAAGGGUGCGUAGGUGGCGCCGUAAGUCAGGUGUGAAAUUUCGGAGCUUAACUCCGAAACUGCAUUUGAUACUGCGGUGCUUGAGGACUGGAGAGGAGACUGGAAUUCACGGUGUAGCAGUGAAAUGCGUAGAUAUCGUGAGGAAGACCAGUGGCGAAGGCGGGUCUCUGGACAGUUCCUGACACUGAGGCACGAAGCCAGGGGAGCAAACGGG
rnacentral:rRNA from 1 species